rnacentral:rRNA from 1 species
AUGGCAGAGAAAUAUACUAGGUGCAGACUUGGGUUUAUUCCAACAUACGGCAAGUUCAUGGUCGUCUCCAUCGGCUGCGGGCUGAACCCGAAAGAGAGCUACAGCACCAAGGACGCCGCCAAGUGGGGGAUCCUAAACUGA